rnacentral:misc_RNA from 1 species
GAUGAAGAACGUAGUGAAAUGCGAUAAGUAAUGUGAAUUGCAGAAUUCAGUGAAUCAUCGAAUCUUUGAACGCACCUUGCGCCUUUUGGUAUUCCGAAAGGCACACCUGUUUGAGCGUCAUGAAUACCUCAAUCUCCAUCUUUUCUUCGGAUUGAUGGGUGACUUGGAUGUUGAGCCCUGCUGGUAUGCUAUAUCAGCUGGCUUUAAACUUAUUAGCCGGCUCUGUACUGGAUCGGUUUGACUCGACGUGAUAAUAUUAUCGUUGAGGAUGCAUGUCUCAUGCAGCCGGAAAGUAUCAAAGCAGCUUCUAGCUUGCCUUUAGUGCACUUUUACAUUUUAGACCUCAGAUCAGGUGGGACUACCCGCUGAACUUAAGCAUAUCAAUAAGCGGAGGA